UCAGAACAUUUCUAGUUAAGAAAGUAAUUGAUAGUUGACUUACCUAUUCUGUAGUUAUGUACAGUGAUCGCUAUGCUUCUGAAGGAACAACAGAUGAACAUAAUUCUGAUCUACAAAGAGAAGAGAUUUGGACAGUGUGUUUAUCUCAGCUAGGUAAGGAACGAUGAUAAUCCCUCAACAUCCCCGGGCCUAGGAUGGGGAGCAAGAACCGUAAGAGACUGGUUUGUCCAGAUCCUAGCUGUGAGUAGAGACCUCUGCUGAUAAUCUACACUCCUGGAGAGGAACUACUCCCAAUGCUUUAUGGAUCUGGUAGACUCAUUUGGAAGCAUGUUCUGAUGUGCUUCACAGGAGGCAGGAAGAGGUUAAACUGAAGUCUAUUUAGGGCAGGUGUAAACUGCGCAAAAAAAUCUGCCUGGAUGAAGUCAAACAUUGCAGCUAUUAGUCUGAAUAAUGUGUACAUACACCUUUUGAUGCACCAUCAAUAACUCGGAGACGUGAGUCAAGUCCUGAUGAAGGAUCUCGGCCUGAAACGUCGACAAUUUACUCUCUUCCAUUGAUGCUGCCUGGCCUGCUGAGUUCUUCCUGCAUUUUGAGUGUGUUGCUUGGAUUUCCAGCAUCUGCA